rnacentral:tRNA from 1 species
GGCUCCAUGGUGUAGUGGCUAUCACUCUGGACUUUGAAUCCAGCAACCCGAGUUCGAAUCUCGGUGGGGCCU